GAAAUGCGAUAAGUAAUGUGAAUUGCAGAAUUCAGUGAAUCAUCGAAUCUUUGAACGCACAUUGCGCCCUCUGGUAUUCCGGAGGGCAUGCCUGUUUGAGUGUCAUUUAACACCUCACCAAUGUCAUCUUUACGGAUGCUUCGUUGGUCGGAGUUGGGUCGUGCGGUCUUACCACCGCUGACUCGAAAUCGAUGGGUGCGGCCUUUUGCCUCUCGACCGACUCAACGUUCUAGGUUUAUCCAACUCGUUGAUGGAAGGGAGCAAACUUGUGUGUUGCACCUAAAGCCUUCGCCUUCUCCUCCGUGGGAUUGUGAAUGAAAACUCUUUGACCUCAGAUCAGGUAGGAAUACGCGCUGAACUUAA
rnacentral:misc_RNA from 1 species